GACGUAGGGCGCGAGCGUUGUCCGGAUUUAUUGGGCGUAAAGAGCUCGUAGGCGGCUUGUCGCGUCGUUCGUGAAAACCUGCAGCUCAACUGCAGGCUUGCGGUCGAUACGGGCAGACUAGAGUUCGGUAGGGGAGUCUGGAAUUCCUGGUGUAGCGGUGAAAUGCGCAGAUAUCAGGAGGAACACCGGUGGCGAAGGCGGGUCUCUGGGCCGAUACUGACGCUGAGGAGCGAAAGCGUGGGGAGCGAACAGG
rnacentral:rRNA from 1 species